AACAUCGAGGACGAGGACGAGGACGAGCAGACAGAGAGAAAGAGGAAGAGCAGAGAGAGAGGGAGGGAGAGAGAGGAAGAGACAGAUAGAGAAGGAGACAGGACGAGGACGAGCAGACAGAGAGGGAGUGGACGAGCGGAAGAGAGAGGGAGAGAGAGAGACAGAGAGACAGACAAACAGACAGACAGACAGACAGACAGGUGCACAGCAACAACUCCACUAAUAGUAGUGACUGAUGAUGAUGAACAUGACAACAGCAACGAUGGGGACAAUGAGCAGCAGUGACGGUCCUUCCUACAGGCGACAUACAUAAAAUUAUAAUGUCUUAAUAAUUUUUUCAACAGACAUAAAACAUAAAUUAAACUCAAGUAAAAGAAUUGACUGUGACGUGACCGGUGUGUCGACGGGUUACUAUGGUUACUGUAGUUACUAUGGUUACUAUGGUUACAGCUACAGUCCAUCUUUGGAAAGCGCAGAAAAGAAGAGCAGGAGAAAGGUGUAAAAGAGGAAGAUUCACUAUUAAAAUAUUUGGGACCACCUGCAGCUGAAUCAUCAGACCAGGAACAGCCAUGCACCUCAGCUGCUCCGGUUUCCUCAGAGCCACCAGAAGAGACACAACAACAGCAUGCUGCUCUUCCUGCCAACCUCACAUCACAUUUUACAUUAUCUAAUGCACACAAUGUUUUAUUGUUAGUUUAAUUUUUUGUUUUGGUUCUUUAGUGUGCACUUUCUGCUCUCAGAUGUUGCACUACUGUUAAAAAUAUGUUUAAAAGUUAUUUUUUAUAUAUUUAUUAUUGAACAGGUUUAUUCUUUUGCACAUAUUGUUAUAUUGUUUGUAUUAUCAUUGUUUAAAUAAAUGUGCAAUUCUUUGGA